rnacentral:lncRNA from 1 species
CAACAAAAUUUCAAAAAAUGAAAUUUAAAUGCAUAAAUAAUGGCAAUAUUUAAAUACAUAUACAAUUUAAUGAAAAAUAUAAAAGUCGCCAAUCAAAUUAUUAUUAUUAUUAUCUAAUAUAUUUUAAUCUGGUCAAUUAUCAAUUAAAGUUUUAAUUUGGUCAAAAAUAAAAUUUUAGGGUCAAAAGUUUAGAAGUUCAAAUUUAAGAGCCCCUUAUUGAAAAUUACAUUUUAAUACUAAACACAAAUUAAAAUUAGGUCAUUCAUAUUUAAAAUUGCAUGGCAGGUCCUUAUUUAAGUAAUUACAAUAUGACCCCCAACUGAUAAUUGCAAACAGGGAUUUUAAGAUUGGUUAUUUACGAUAGAAGCCCCUGUCUACAUCUCUGCCAAAAAAAAAAAAGACAGAAUUUUUUUUCGUGGCGCCGGUUGCUGCCGACGCUGUUGCCGCAAAAUACAGCGGCAAGCCAGCUGCUGCCAUGGGUACUCAAAAACAAAACCCAAAUUGAAAAAUUAAAUCUUAAACCUCUUUAGAAUUUAGAUCGUAAUAAAUAAAUCAAGAAUUCAGACCCUGAAACUAUAAAGAAGAAAAAAAAGUUCAAACCCAGUUCACAGACAAAUCAUGCACCCAAAAUCAUACUUUUGAAAUCAAUUAAAUCACCAAAAACAGGAAACCCCAUAAACCCUAUUCACAGAAAUCGCCGAAUCUUAAAAUUCACAUAACGAAUGUGAAGAUUGUUUAAAAGCGUCAAAAUCUGCGGAAUAUUAGAUAACGCGCAAAAACUCGAAUCAAGAAUUGUUUCAACCAAUAAGACCUAGAAGUCCCAAAUUAAAUUCAAAACAUUAAGCUGCCUGCCACCCACUCAAAUUGAAUUUUAGAAUUAUUAAUUCAAGGUUUUCAAAUCCAAUUCACACAUGCUGAUUUACGCCAGUAUACGUAUUUGCAUGUGCACAGCACAGACAUCUAGAUUUUUUUUUUAAAACACUAGAAUCUGUGG